GAGGCNUUCUGACUGGCGCCGAUGCUCCGGCAACGGCGCGCCGGAUGCCGGAAAGUUGGUCAAACUUGAUCAUUUAGAGGAAGUAAAAGUCGUAACAAGGUUUCCGUAGGUGAACCUGCGGAAGGAUCAUUACCGAUGUAAUCCAAAGGCACGACUCCGUCGUGACUACCGUGUGAACCGUACCAAACUAUUCAGGGGUCGGCCAGUCCGUUAAAUGGCGGUCGGGCGCGCGCAUUGCGCGCGGCCGCUCCGCCAGCCCCGCCUGUGUUUUUUAACAUACGUGUCUUGUCUGAAAAAGUGGCCACUGAAGUGGUCGAGAGCAAAGAAAAAGAGAGACAACUUUUGACGGUGGAUCUCUUGGCUCACGCAUCGAUGAAGAACGCAGCCAGCUGCGAUAAGUAGUGUGAAUUGCAGAAUUCAGUGAAUCAUCGAAUCUUUGAACGCAAAUGGCGCUCUUGGGUUCUCCCAGGAGCAUGUCUGUCUGAGUGUCGGAUAUCAUCCAACGCACCCAAUCGUGCGGCGUUGAGGCGUCACGGCCCUUCUCGCGGCCGUGUCCCUUGAAAGUCAGCGAGACUCGCCGCGGCACGGGUUCGUUCCCUGCACACUCGCGGAGGCUAAAAACGCUUUUGCCCUUCGCGUGCAACGGAGCCACCCGCCCGCCGAGUCGCGGAGGCGAACAGUAUUCAACUCUUGACCUCAGAUCAGGCAAGGCUACCC
rnacentral:sRNA from 1 species